GCUGCGAGUUGGCUCAUAAGGUAUUAAAAGCUCUGAAAUGUAGCUCGGAGUAAGUCCUUUGAGCGCUUUAAAAGUAAUCAAUAUAUAUAUAUAUAUAUAUAUAUAUAUAAUAAAAUAAAGGAAAAUACAAAACAUUAAAAUCAAUGAAGGACCUGAGAGAUAAAAUAAGAAAAGAUUAUAAGUAAAACAAAGGCUAAAAAGGCAGUAAGUCUAAAUAAGAAAGAGGUAAAAGAGGUAAAAGAAAAAGGAGAAAAAGAAAAAAGGUAAAAGACGAUAAAAGAUGAAAGAUGGCAUCACAUAAAGGCAAGUCUGUAAAAGUGAGUUUUUAAAAGUGAUUUAAAAGAAGCGACUGUCUCUGCACGCCGUAUCUCCUCUGGCAGGUCGUUCCAAAGUCGAGGAGCUCUGAUGGAGAAAGCUCUAUCACCUUUAGUCUUGAGCCUCGACUUUGGAAUGACUAGGAGGCCUUCGCCAGAGGAUCUGAGGCUGCGAGUUGGCUCAUAAGGUAUUAAAAGCUCUGAAAUGUAGCUCGGAGUAAGUCCUUUGAGCGCUUUAAAAGUAAUCAAUAAAAUCUUAAAAUCAAUUCUAAAGCUGACAGGAAGCCAGUGAAGGGAGGCUAAAAUUGGGGUGAUGUGAUGCCGUCGACUAAAACCAGUUAAAAGCCUAGUUGCUGCAUUCUGAACUAGUUGGAGGCGAGAGAGUGAUUUCUUGUUUAAACCAGGGAGGAGAGAGUUACAAUAGUCCAGUCUUGAGAAAAUGAAGGCGUGGAUUAUCUUUUCGAGAUCUGGUGGGGUGAGUAUUUGUUUAAUCUUUGAAAUGGAGCGCAGGUGAAGGAAACAGGACUGGACAAUCUUGUUGAUAUGGGUGGAGAAGGUGAGGUCUGAAUCGAAGGUUACUCCCAGAUUUCUGGCUGUUGGUUUGAUGAUUACUGAAUGUGGACCAAGACAAGACUGAAUGAGGGGGGAGUUUUGUAUGUUACAGAGAAUUAUUUCAGAUUUUGAAUAGUUUAGCUGAAGGAAAUUUUGUGCCAUCCAACAGUUAAUGUCACUUAGACAGUCCAUGACAGCAGCUAGGCCUCUUGGGUCCUCAGGUCUCAAAGGAAGGUAUAUCUGUGUGUCGUCUGCAUAGCAGUGAAAGGAGACUUUGUGGCGCUGAAUUAAUUGGCCGAGGGGCAGCAUGUAGAUAGAAAAUAAAAUUGGACCUAAAACUGAACCUUGCGGAACACCACAGGCGAUAGCAGAAGUAGAGGAGGUGUGAUUGCCUAUGGUGACCGCAAAGGUUCGUUCUAAAAGAUACGACUGAAACCAGCCAAGUGCAGUGCCCCUGAUACCCACCCAGUUUUUAAGACGUUCAAUUAAAAUAGUAUGAUCAACUGUAUCAAAAGCUGCACUGAGAUCUAAAAGAAUUAAAAUUGAGCCCUCCCCUCUAUCUGCUGCUAAAAGAAGGUCAUUGGUCACACGGAGGAGGGCAGUCUCAGUGCUGUGACCUGCUCUAAAACCAGACUGAAAUUUCUCAAAGAGGUUGUUUUCAGACAUAAAACCUAAAAGCUGUUUAGAAACCACCUUCUCUAAAAGUUUGGAUAAAAAUGGAAGUUUUGAAAUUGGUCUAAAAUUG
rnacentral:lncRNA from 1 species